CAUAACGACUCUCGGCAACGGAUAUCUCGGCUCUCGCAUCGAUGAAGAACGUAGCGAAAUGCGAUACGUGGUGUGAAUUGCAGGAUCCCGUGAACCAUCGAGUUUUUGAACGCAAGUUGCGCCCGAAGCCUUUAGGCCGAGGGCACGUCUGCCUGGGCGUCACGC
rnacentral:rRNA from 1 species